GACGUAGGUGGCAAGCGUUGUCCGGAAUUAUUGGGCGUAAAGCGCGCGCAGGCGGUUUCUUAAGUCUGAUGUGAAAGCCCACGGCUCAACCGUGGAGGGUCAUUGGAAACUGGGGAACUUGAGUGCAGAAGAGAAGAGCGGAAUUCCACGUGUAGCGGUGAAAUGCGUAGAGAUGUGGAGGAACACCAGUGGCGAAGGCGGCUCUUUGGUCUGUAACUGACGCUGAGGCGCGAAAGCGUGGGGAGCGAACAGG
rnacentral:rRNA from 1 species